rnacentral:lncRNA from 1 species
GUCCCUGUUGAAGAGGAGUACAAUGCAUCUUUUCAGGAACAAACAGAAGACACAACUGAAGAGAGAAGCUGAAAUUUUGACUGAGUGUAUGCCUAUACGUCCCAGGAAAUACAAAGAGAGAAAACUGGUAAGGUCCAUGGAUCAACUAAUUCUACACUGCAUACAUGUAUCGCUUUCCUAAUUGAAGAAUCAUAUACAUUAUGACUACAAUUUUGUGCAGAACGGUACUCCAAUCUACUCUCAUAUCUGGACAAUUGAUAUUACAAAGAAAGAUAAAAGAAUUUGAGUGAGAAUUGAGUCUUCCCCUGUAGUGCCCGAGAGCAAUAAAUACAGGAAGAAGAUAUGCGGAUUGCGGCUGACCGCUGACUGAUAAUUUACCUCCGUCCUAGCGCACAUUUAUUCCUCUAAGCAGACCUUUAAACUUAU